rnacentral:tRNA from 1 species
GCCCAGGUGGCGAAAUUGGUAGACGCACUGUGUUUAGGUCUCAGCGUUCGAAAGGACGUGCUGGUUCGAAUCCAGUUCUGGGCA